rnacentral:rRNA from 1 species
UACGUAGGUGGCAAGCGUUGUCCGGAAUUAUUGGGCGUAAAGAGCUCGUAGGUGGUUUGUCACGUUGUUCGUGAAAACCCACAGCUCAACUGUGGGCGUGCGAGCGAUACGGGCAGACUAGAGUACUGCAGGGGAGACUGGAAUUCCUGGUGUAGCGGUGGAAUGCGCAGAUAUCAGGAGGAACACCGGUGGCGAAGGCGGGUCUCUGGGCAGUAACUGACGCUGAGGAGCGAAAGCGUGGGGAGCGAACAGG